AUUGAACGCUGGCGGCAGGCCUAACACAUGCAAGUCGAGCGAGCGGCGGACGGGUGAGUAAUGUCUGGGAAACUGCCUGAUGGAGGUGGAUAACUACUGGAAACGGUAGCUAAUACCCCAUACCAUCAGAUGUUCCCAGAUGGGAUUAGCUAGUAGGUGGGGUAACGGCUCACCUAGGCGACGAUCCCUAGCUGGUCUGAGAGGAUGACCAGCCACACUGGAACUGAGACACGGUCCAGACGCCUACGGGAGGCAGCAGUGGGGAAGAUUGGACAAGGGGCGAAAGCCUGAUGCAGCCAGGACGCGUGUGUGAAGAAGGCCUUCGGGUUGUAAAGUACUUUCAGCGGGGAGGCGUUACCCGCAGAAGAAGCACCGGCUAACUCCGUGCCAGCAGCCGCGGUAAUAC
rnacentral:rRNA from 1 species